UUAAACCCAAUCAAAUCCCUCUGCUCUGGUGCUAAUUAAUGUUAUCAAGACAUAGCAGGAUUAUGCUGCCUCCUUUUUAUCUCUGCGUGACGGGUAACUUCAAAUAUCUUUCCUUCUUCCUUUAACAGUUGGAUGUCAUUUGAAAAUGAAGCAACAGCAGCAGCUAUUCUCAGCAGAACUGUUUUAACCCUCCCUCUGGGGGCUGAUGUAAAAUGAAAUAUGUGCUCUGCGUUUUUCAGCAUAGAUUUUAUGUAAUCAUAAAUUUUUCCACAUGAAUUGAAAGGCUGCAAAUUAGCUUGGAGAGCAGAUUCCUGGAUGUGUGAUCAGCAAGCAUUCCAGCAGUCAAGAAGUUAAUUUGCAGCCAAUCCUGAUUGAUUGCUGGAAGGGCAAAUGACAAGGACUUCCGUUUGUGCUACAUAACAGGAAGAUACAUCACAAGCUGUGGAAUUCAGAGGAGGUGCUUCGGUGCACAGAGAACAGACUUUGUGAGAGAUGGACAUGCUCCAUAUUUGAUCUUGUGGACACAACAUAUGUCCAGAUAGCUUUGGUUAAUUAGCACUGUAAAUAAAGCUUCAGUGCCGCUGGCUUCAGCAGAUAUAAAUCAGCAAAGUUGUCGUUCUUGGUCGGUGCCACUUUCGCCAUUUGCAGAGUGGUCUGACGGGUGAGCUGAGGUGGGACUUGGCUCAUCAAUCAGUCGGGGUCGCCGAUUCCCUGACAAGAUCCCACAGCUGAAUGUCAAAAUUCACUUCUGCAAAAACAGAGAGUUCAGAGUCUGGCGUGUCUAGCAUUCCAAAAGGCCAAAUGAGACACAGAUGGUUGAAGGCAAAAUCAGAGGUUUAUUUCUCAAUGACCAGAGAGGAUAUCAGCAAAAAAAAGCACCCCAGAGAAUUGACAUAUUGCAACUACAAAUACAUAGCAUAAUUAUUGUGUUUUGGCAUCUAUUCAAAUAUACCAUGCUGAUUGUCUCAGUAAAUGUCUGACUAGGAGAUGCCAAAGAAUGGCUCUGAUGCCAUCUCUGGUUGGUCAUUGCUGUGGUGGGAAACUUUAAUAAACUGUCAUUGAACUAUU